AGCGGCGAAAGGGACAGUAAUGUGUAGGUACCUACCCCCCGAUCUGGGAUAGCUGCGGGAAACUGCAGGUAAUACCGGAUAAUGUCUUCGGACCAAAGGUGUGAUUCCGUCAGGGGAGGGGCCUGCAUCCUAUUAGCUUGUUGGUGAGGUAAUGGCUCACCAAGGCAACGAUGGGUAGCGGGUGUGAGAGCAUGACCCGCGUCAUUGGGACUGAGACACUGCCCAGACAUCUACGGAUGGCUGCAGUCGAGAAUCUUCGGCAAUGGGCGAAAGCCUGACCGAGCGACGCCGCGUGCGGGAUGAAGGCCCUCGGGUUGUAAACCGCUGUCGUUGGGGAGGAAAUGCAAAAGGGUUAUCCCUUCUGUUUGACCGAUCCAAGGAGGAAGUACGGGCUAAGUUCGUGCCAGCAGCCGCGGUAAGACGAACCGUACGAACGUUAUUCGGAAUUACUGGGCUUAAAGGGUGCGUAGGCUGCACGGAAAGUUGGGUGUGAAAGCCCUCAGCUCAACUGAGGAAUUGCAUCCAAAACUGCCGUGCUAGAGGGAGACAGAGGUGAGCGGAACUCAAGGUGGAGCGGUGAAAUGCGUUGAUAUCUUGAGGAACACCGGUGGCGAAAGCGGCUCACUGGGUCUCUUCUGACGCUGAGGCACGAAAGCUAAGGUAGCAAACGGGAUUAGAUACCCCGGUAGUCUUAGCUGUAAACGAUGAGCACUUGAUUGGAGGGUCCUCCAUAGCCUUCCAGUCGUAGCGAAAGUGUUAAGUGCUCCGCCUGGGGAGUAUGGUCGCAAGGCUGAAACUCAAAGAAAUUGACGGGGGCUCACACAAGCGGUGGAGGAUGUGGCUUAAUUCGAGGAUACGCGAAGAACCUUAUCCUGGUCUUGACAUGUACGGAUGGGCUGCCUGAAAGGGAAUAGUCCCUGCCCUUCGGGUGAAACGUACACAGGUGCUGCAUGGCCCGUCGUCAGCUCGUGUCGUGAGAUGUCGGGUUAAGUCCCUUAACGAGCGAAACCCUUGUUCCUAGUGCCAGCACGUAUGUUGGGACUCUAGGAGACUGGCUGUGUAACCGAAGAAGUGGAAUGACGUCCGUCCUCAUGGCUUAUGGACCAAGGCUUGCACACACGUUCUACAAUGGGGUUUACACUUCGAAUGGUAGC
rnacentral:rRNA from 1 species